UACGUAGGGGGCAAGCGUUAUCCGGAUUUACUGGGUGUAAAGGGGGCGCAGACGGCGAUGCAAGCCAGGAGUGAAAGCCCGGGGCCCAACCCCGGGACUGCUCUUGGAACUGCGUGGCUGGAGUGCAGGAGGGGCAGGCGGAAUUCCUGGUGUAGCGGUGAAAUGCGUAGAUAUCAGGAGGAACACCGGUGGCGAAGGCGGCCUGCUGGACUGCAACUGACGCUGAUGCACGAAAGCGUGGGUAUCAAACAGG
rnacentral:rRNA from 1 species